rnacentral:rRNA from 1 species
GCUUUUGUACACACCGCCCGUCGCCACUACCGAUUGAAUGAUUUAGUGAGGUCUUCGGACUGGUACGCGGCAUCGACUGUCGUUGCCGAUGCUACCGGAAAGAUGACCAAACUUUAUCAUUUAGAGGAAGUAAAAGUCGUAACAAGAUUUCCGUAGGUGAACCUGCGGAAGGAUCAUUA